GAGGGGUUUUGAUUAUCUCUCUGCCUGAGCUAACGCGUUAAGUGCCCCGCCUGGGGAGUACGGCCGCAAGGCUAAAACUCAAAAGAAUUGACGGGGGCUCGCACAAGCGGUGGAGCACGUGGCUUAAUUCGAUGCAACACGAAGAACCUUACCGGGGCUUGACAUGGUAGAAGUAGGAGCCUGAAAGGGUAACGAACGGUAUCCAGUCCGUAGCUAUCACAGGUGUUGCAUGGCUGUCGUCAGCUCGUGUCGUGAGGC
rnacentral:rRNA from 1 species